AAUAAUCCAAUUGUGGAAUUUGUCUUUGCCUCUAUCUUUAUUCAAGCCUUUGACUUAAUCUGAAAAUUUUAUCAUGAUAUAGCAAGGGUGAACAACAAAUAUGCCCAGCAAGUUUUAAGUACAAUAAAGAUAUAUCAUGAUUAAAAGAAAGAAUAAGCUUUCAAGUUUUCAACAAUAUAAUAAUUGUGAAAUAGCAUGAAUCGAAUUUCAAUACAUGAAUGAUUGAAUUAAUAACGCUGAGUAGUCAACAAUGACCAUGAG
rnacentral:lncRNA from 1 species